AAAGAAUCUUGCUUGAGAAAACCCGCCAAAGAUUAUCUUCAAGUUCCACACAGAUUUCAUCUCUUGAAGAGGAGUUAAAUAAAACAAAAGAAAAACUAAAGCUGGUGAAUCAUGCUGAAGGUGGUGGUCCUUGUGAUCCUGUCGAUUUGACGAGGGAGCUGCAGAGACUGACUGCUGAGACCAAGCAGUUUAAGAAAGUAGGAGAAGCUGCAAAAUCAGAAGUAUUGAGGGCUAUGCCUGAGAUUGAACAUACAAAGACAAGGAUCAAAACAGCAGAGAUUAGAUUGGUUGCAGCCAAGAAGAUGAAAGCAGCUGCUAGAGCUGCUGAAGCUGUUGCUCUUGCUGAAAUCAAGGCCAUAUCAAGCAGUGAGAACUCGUUUGUAACUUUACGACGAGAGCCUGAGGAAGGGGUAACUCUUACCUUUGAGGAGUACUCAUCUCUAUUGUCCAAAGCUCAAGAUGCAGAGGAAGCUAGCAAGCAAAGAGAAGUAGAUGCAAUGAUGCUAGUGGAUGAAGCUGUUGUGUCAAAAACAGAAAUCUUGAAGAAGGUAGAAGAAGCUACGGAAGAAGUUAAAGUUAGUAAGAAGGCAUU
rnacentral:misc_RNA from 1 species